AUUGAACGCUGGCGGCAGGCCUAACACAUGCAAGUCGAGCGAGCGGCGGACGGGUGAGUAAUGUAUGGGGAUCUGCCCGAUAGAGGGGGAUAACUACUGGAAACGGUAGCUAAUACCGCAUACCAUCGGAUGUGCCCAGAGGUGAUUAGCUAGUAGGUGGGGUAACGGCUCACCUAGGCGACGAUCCCUAGCUGGUCUGAGAGGAUGACCGGCCACACUGGAACUGAGACACGGUCCAGACUCCUACGGGAGGCAGCAGUGGGGAAUAUUGCACAAUGGGCGAAAGCCUGAUGCAGCCAUGCCGCGUGUAUGAAGAAGGUCUUCGGGUUGUAAAGUACUUUCGGCGGGGAGGCGGUACUCGCAGAGGAAGCACCGGCUAACUCCGUGCCAGCAGCCGCGGUAAUAC
rnacentral:rRNA from 1 species